AAGUUGAUCAUGGCUCAGGAUCACGCUGGCGGCGUGCCUAAUGCAUGCAAGUCGAACGGGGCGGCCUUCGGGCCACUCACGUGGCGGACGGGUGAGGAACACGUGGCCAAUCCACCCAGCGGCAGGGGUAGCCCGCGGAAACGCGGGGUAAUUCCGUAUGCGCUUGAGGACCGCGUGGGGUGCUCAAGCAAAGGCGCAAGCCGCCGUUGGAGGAGGCUGCGGCCGAUUAGCUGGUUGGUGGGGUGACGGCCUACCAAGGCGAUGAUCGGUAGCUGGUCUGAGAGGACGGUCAGCCACACGGGGACUGAGACACGGCCCCGACUCCUACGGGAGGCAGCAGCAAGGAAUUUUCCGCAAUGGGCGAAAGCCUGACGGAGCAACGCCGCGUGCGGGAUGACGCCUUUCGGGGUGUAAACCGCUGUUCGUGGGGACGAAGCACUGACGGUACCCACGGAGGAAGGCCCGGCUAACUACGUGCCAGCAGCCGCGGUAAUACGUAGGGGUCGAGCGUUGUCCGGAGUUACUGGGCGUAAAGCGUGCGCAGGCGGCUCAUUGCGCCCGGCGUGAAAGCCCCCGGCUCAACCGGGGAGGGUCGUCGGGGACGGGUGAGCUUGAGGGUAUCAGGGCUGGUGGAAUUCCCGGUGUAGUGGUGAAAUGCGUAGAGAUCGGGAGGAACACCCGUGGCGAAGGCGGCAGCUGGGAUACACCUGACGCUGAGGCACGAGGCGUGGGGGAGCGACGGGAUUAGAUACGGUAGUCACGCAGUAACGAUGCAGACUAGGCGUGGGGGACUUGACCCCUCGUGCCGGGAGCUACGCGGGGAGUCUGCGCUGGGAGUACGCGCAAGCUAAACUCAAGGAAUUGACGGGGCGCACAACGGCGGA
rnacentral:rRNA from 1 species